rnacentral:rRNA from 1 species
UAGCAUAUCAAUAAGCGGAGGAAAAGAAACCAACAGGGAUUGCCCUAGUAACGGCGAGUGAAGCGGCAACAGCUCAAAUUUGAAAUCUGGCUUCGGCCCGAGUUGUAAUUUGCAGAGGAAGCUUUAGGCGCGGCACCUUCUGAGUCCCCUGGAACGGGGCGCCAUAGAGGGUGAGAGCCCCGUAUAGUUGGAUGCCUAGCCUGUGUAAAGCUCCUUCGACGAGUCGAGUAGUUUGGGAAUGCUGCUCAAAAUGGGAGGUAAAUUUCUUCUAAAGCUAAAUACCGGCCAGAGACCGAUAGCGCACAAGUAGAGUGAUCGAAAGAUGAAAAGCACUUUGAAAAGAGGGUUAAAUAGCACGUGAAAUUGUUGAAAGGGAAGCGCUUGUGACCAGACUUGCGCCGGGCGGAUCAUCCGGUGUUCUCACCGGUGCACUCCGCCCGGCUCAGGCCAGCAUCGGUUCUCGCGGGGGGAUAAAGGUCCUGGGAACGUAGCUCCUCCGGGAGUGUUAUAGCCCGGGGCGUAAUGCCCUCGCGGGGACCGAGGUUCGCGCAUCUGCAAGGAUGCUGGCGUAAUGGUCAUCAGCGACCCGUCUUGAAACACGGACCAAGGAGUCAAGGUUUUGCGCGAGUGUUUGGGUGUAAAACCCGCACGCGUAAUGAAAGUGAACGUAGGUGAGAGCUUCGGCGCAUCAUCGACCGAUCCUGAUGUUUUCGGAUGGAUUUGAGUAGGAGCGUUAAGCCUUGGACCCGAAAGAUGGUGAACUAUGCUUGGAUAGGGUGAAGCCAGAGGAAACUCUGGUGGAGGCUCGCAGCGGUUCUGACGUGCAAAUCGAUCGUCAAAUCUGAGCAUGGGGGCGAAAGACUAAUCGAACCAUCUAGUAGCUGGUUACCGCCAAU